rnacentral:tRNA from 1 species
GCGUCAUAGCUCAGUUGGUAGAGCAGUGGUCUCGUAAUCCAGCAACCUGGGUUCGAAACCAAGGUGAUGCG